rnacentral:misc_RNA from 1 species
UCGGAAGGUGCGGCUGGAUCACCUCCUUUCUAAGGAUGAGAAGCUGAUACGUCAGCUUCUCACGUGAGAUUUUUAUCUCUUAGAAAUAAAAAAAUCUCAAGGUAAACUUUGGGUAUUCUAUAUAAUAUUUCAAAACUGAACCAACAAAACUAAAUAGCAAAAAAUAUUUCCAGUCAAGAAAGAAAGGGCGCAAGGUGGAUGCCUUGGCACAUGAAGACGAAGAAGGACGUAAGUGAACGAAAACUAGGGAUAGCUCACAAAAAGCACUGACCCCUAG